GACGAACGCUGGCGGCGUGCUUAACACAUGCAAGUCGAACGGAAAGGCCCUGCUCUUGUGGGGUGCUCGAGUGGCGAACGCGUGAGUAACACGUGAGUAACCUGCCCUUGACUUUGGGAUAACUUCAGGAAACUGGGGCUAAUACCGGAUAGGAGCUCCUGCUGCAUGGUGGGGGUUGGAAAGUUUCGGCGGUUGGGGAUGGACUCGCGGCUUAUCAGCUUGUUGGGGGGGUAGUGGCUUACCAAGGCUUUGACGGGUAGCCGGCCUGAGAGGGUGACCGGCGACAUUGGGACUGAGAUACGGCCCAGACUCGUACGGGAGGCAGCAGUGGGGAAUAUUGCACAAUGGGCGGAAGCCUGAUGCAGCAACGCCGCGUGCGGGAUGACGGCCUUCGGGUUGUAAACCGCUUUCGCCUGUGACGAAGCGUGAGUGACGGUAAUGGGUAAAGAAGCACCGGCUAACUACGUG
rnacentral:rRNA from 1 species